rnacentral:rRNA from 1 species
AUGCCCAGGUUACAAAUAUUGAGUUUGAUUUUUAAGAAGAGCAAAUCUCCAAGUAUACUCCAAGCUACUGAGCCAACCAGAGCAGAUCAAUCUACAAGCAAUCUUAGCUACCGACCCAACCGGAGCCCAGGUGUCAUAAGUAUAUUCCUUGUCCCCUUAUCAUCAUUAAUAUACACCAACUCUAUAAUCCAACUCUCCAUACAACAUCCUUCAAUAUCCUUACGAACAAUGUGGUACUUGCCAUGCAUAUACAUAAAAUCGUCAGCAAUUUUGAACUUCUGGACAAGUAAAAUCAGUUAA